GUGUUGGAGAAAAGCAAAAAGCCGUAAAUGUAGUGCAAUUUUUUUCUGUCGUGUACAUGUGCUGUUCAUAAAAUCAUCUUUUAAAAUAAACUGUACACGUUAAAAUGUCUCAUUAACUAAUAAUUAAUACUAUCAUCAAUAACAAUCAGUAUUUACUUUUAUCAGUCGGCAGUAGUGUGUGGUGCUACUUCGUAAAGCUGUGAGUGAGUGUAGGUUCAGUAUGUACGGGUGUGCUUCAGGUUCCUCAUGGUCCAGACAUACACUUCAGUUAAAUUGGGGAUGCUAUUACCUACAGUGUCUGAAUGGGCGAAUGACUAGUUAUGUAAUGAUGCUGAGGGGGCUUGGUGUAACAAUGUAAAUAGUUGGUGUUACUGUCUAUUACGUAGUCCUGUGUUCCUUUCUGAUCGGCUGCUAUCUAGUCUGCCACUGAGGACUUCUGGGGGGUUCAAAGGGGGACUCCUUAACCAUUUACGGGAGGAGGGGGUUCAAAGUGACCUGGAGGAACUCUGUGCUCAUAAAUUUGUCUUGUACUAUUUGUUGUGCCUUAGUUAAUGCUGAUAUUGAAAGACAUGUAUGUGUCCAUUAAAUGCAAGAACCGAGCUGGUCAAGACAGGCAUAUACUUGAGUGUCCAGGGUGGGUACCACAAAGCCUGGCCCGAGUCCGUUAGGAUGAAGAAGAAUGUCACGCAAUGGGGCUGCUUAGAAGCCAAAGAGAGGUGGAAAGGCCUGUUUUGGCUGUCACCCGACAGAUUUGUUGCAGGUUCUUCAUCCUUGGGUGGAGAUGUGAUGUGAAAAGGUAAACACUCAAAGAAAACAAUAGGUAAGGUGUACAGCAACACCCUGGGAACAGGCCAGGAGACCACCCCUCUUGAGUGGUGGAGUUGCUGGGUAAGUUUCCUUUCCGAUUCUUAAAUCCUUGCAUUGGCUCCCGGUCUCUUAUAGAGUUGAUUAUAAAAUCCUACUUUUGACCUGUAAGGUAAUACAUGGCAUUGCUUCAGCUUACCUUUGUGAGAUCAUUAAUUCUUAUAUCCCAGGACGAUAUCGCCGUUCAUUAGAUGCAGGUUACCUUAAAGUACCUGUGAUCAAUAAGACCUCAGUAGGAGGUUGCGCCUUUAGUUAUAGAGCACCUAAACUGUGGAAUAGUCUACCAGUUACUGUCAGAAAUGCCCCAUCUGUUUCCGUUUUCAAAUCCCGACUUAAGACUUAUAUGUUCACUCAGGCAUUCCACCUCCGAAUGUAAUUCGACCUGCCUUGGUUAUUUAUUUUAUCACCCUUACAAAAAUGCAUUUUAAAUUUACUUAAGUAACAAAUUACUAACUCUGUUCUACCUUCUCGUUGAGCACUACCUUGUUACAUAAGAUCUGAGGAGGCCGGCCAGUGGUGACAGACGAAUCCCAUGCUGACAGAGGAUGAUGUCCAUCUGCCGCGACAAUCGAGACGUUCCAUGCCGAGCUGGGGAUCCAAGAUGCCAUUUACCAACAUUAUAAUUACUUGUUAAACACUGGCUUACAAAUUGUUACUUUCUAGAAUGCCCAGGAGGGGUGGGCAACCACUGGCCCGUGGACCCCCAGAGGUUUUUUUCUCCCUCAGCCUUCAGUUGGGAGUUUUUGUUCCUUUCCCCGGUGGCCAGUAGGUAUACUUGUAGCACUAUAAGUUAUUCAUUGUGGUAGCUAUUAGUUGACUGUCUUCUUUGUUUGUAUCAAUUUUUCUUGCUGUAUGCCUGUGUUAAAGUGCUCUAUAAAAAAUAAAAAUAAAUAAAUAAAUAA
rnacentral:lncRNA from 1 species